CCUUUGCUCAGUUAACUUUUUUGCGGCCGCCUCUUAUUCGCUUGGUGCAGGUCGGGACCUCAUUCGCCGGCGCCGGAAAUAAUGACGGACGACGGCGGUGUUAAUUCUACUAAGUUGUCAACGACGAAUAUAUUUUGAUUAGCGGCGAAAUUUGGGUCCUGCCUUGCAUCAACUGAAUUGGAGACAGCUGUGAAUUGAAGAUUUCGGAUUGAUUUCAGCUAAUUUAGGUUCGGUUUAGAUCGAUCUAGUAUUGGUGAUUUGCUUCGACUCAGGUUUAAUUUGUUCGAUUUGAUUCGGAUUAUUAACUAUGUUUGUGUGUGUGUAUAUGUGGAUGAAUUUUGUAAUUUGUAUUUCCGAUUGGAUUUGCCUGGAUCUGACUUUGUAGAUUGCAAUUUUCAUGAAACUAAUGCCUAAAUGAUGUUUUGGAUACUGUUGAGCUUAGGUCAUUUGCCAGGUUUUAUACUCUAAUUGGUCAUAGAGUUCACUGACUAGACCAGCUAUGAUGCUGUGAAACUGGGAUGGAGCUUCGGAAAAAGAUUAUAGUUUGUAUUUAAACCUAUUUUGCUUGGACUCUCCAAAAAUGUUGCUGCAUCUGUUUCAAAUCCUCUGAAAAAGCAGUACCUUUGGAGGACACACACCCAUUGGCAUUUUGGAGAGUCCAAGAAAAAUGGAUUUGAUUUAGGUGGAGAAUCAUGGUCAUAAAGAAAAUCAAAGAUACAUCUUAUCAAAAUGACUGACCAACAGGUUUUCUUUUCACUUGGUUUCAGUGCCCGAUUCUGAUUUCUCAAGACUGAAAAUGGUACUGGCAUAAGGUAGAUUUUUAGGGUGGAAAUUUUUUGGCCUUGUAAUAUUUGAAUUGAAUUUGAUUAAGGGUUGGUAGAUGUUUCAGGCUAAUAAUGAUAUCUUACUACAAUUCACUCUCAUCACCUAAUACUACUAGUGAUUGUCACUACAGCUCCGUUCAACUUCAAAUGCAGCUAUGCCAUCAGAGGAAGGAGAUGAGAGUGUCCAUGGUAGCUUGCCAAUUCUUAAUGUUGGUACCCUCUGCUAUGUAUGUGGAUGGCAAACUCCUCGCAUACUCUUGUCUUCUAUGAAUCUACCAGUCUGGGAUCUAAUCUGAUUGCGUUCCCUCUAGAUAAUGGCAACUAACAUUGCAAAUAAGCAGAUUUCUUAAGCUAUUAAUUAAGCAUGUAAUAUUGUCAUUCUGCAGAUUUUGUCUGCAAAAUCACCACCAAAUGAAAAUGGAUGUUAUGCGUGGCUACUCUGUUGUGGGAUUUGAGCUACACUUGGUCU